UGCAAGUCGAACGAUUAAAGCUUCCUUCGGGAAGUGCAUAGAGUGGCGCACGGGUGAGUAACACGUAAGUAAUCUACCUUCGAGUGGGGAAUAACGUCCGGAAACGGACGCUAAUACCGCAUAAUGCAGCGGCAUCGCAAGAUGACAGUUGUUAAAGGAGCAAUUCGCUUGAAGAGGAGCUUGCGGCAGAUUAGCUAGUUGGUAAGGUAACGGCUUACCAAGGCUACGAUCUGUAACCGGUCUAAGAGGACGGUCGGUCACACUGACACUGAAUAACGGGUCAGACUCCUACGGGAGGCAGCAGUCGGGAAUUUUGGGCAAUGGGCGAAAGCCUGACCCAGCAACGCCGCGUGAAGGGAUGAAGUAUUUCGGUAUGUNAAACUUCGAAAAGAAUNAGGAAGAAAUUAAUGGACGGNACUAUUUUUUUAAGGGCCGGGCUAAC
rnacentral:rRNA from 1 species